CCCUCCUUUUGCCGGGCCAUUCAGGCCGCGGCCGCCACGGUGGAGAUCGGCAGCAGAGGGGGGCCACUCCUCCGGUUACGGAGGAGCAUGGCCGGCGGUCGAUUGCGAUCGCCGGCGCCGGAAAAUCCAAGGGAAAAGAGGCCAAAACAGGGGUCUCUUUUCCGACCGAAAAUCGACGACACCCAUCGCCGGCAGCCUCGUGCAAAGGUACGAAAAGAAAGAGAAGGAAGAGAGGAAGGGGAGGAAGACUUACCUCGGCCUCCGGUGAUCCCCACCGGCGAGCAAUCACGGCAAGAUCAAAAUGGUGUCCGCGGC
rnacentral:lncRNA from 1 species